rnacentral:rRNA from 1 species
CCUACGGGAGGCAGCAGUGGGGAAUAUUGGACAAUGGGGGGAACCCUGAUGCAGCGACGCCGCGUGAGUGAAGAAGUAUUUCGGUAUGUAAAGCUCUAUCAGCAGAGAAGAAAGAAAUGACGGUACCUGACUAAGAAGCCCCUGCUAACUUCGUACCAGCAGCCGCUGUAAUACGUAGGGGGCAAGCGUUAUCCGGAUGUACUGGGUGGAAAGGGGGCGUAGACGGCGAUGCAAGUCUGAAGUGAAAGGCGGAGGCCCAACCCCAGGACUGCUUUGGACACUGUAUGGCGGGAGUGCAGGAGAGGUAAGUGGAAUUCUUAGUGUAGGGGUGAAAUGCGUAGAUAUUAGGAGGAACACUAGUGGCGAAGGCGGCUUACUGGACUGUAACUGACGUUGAGGCUCGAAAGCGUGGGGAGCAAACAGGAUUAGAUACCCCGGUAGUC